AUUGAACGCUGGCGGCAUGCCUUACACAUGCAAGUCGAACGGCAGCGGACCUUCGGGUGCCGGCGAGUGGCGAACGGGUGAGUAAUGCAUCGGAACGUACCUUUCAGUGGGGGAUAACGUAGCGAAAGUUACGCUAAUACCGCAUAUUCUGUGAGCAGGAAAGCAGGGGAUCGCAAGACCUUGCGCUGAUUGAGCGGCCGAUGUCAGAUUAGCUAGUUGGUGAGGUGAAGGCUCACCAAGGCGACGAUCGUUAGCUGGUCUGAGAGGAUGACCAGCCACACUGGGACUGAGAGACGGCCCAGACUCCUACGGGAGGCAGCAGUGGGGAAUAUUGGACAAUGGGGGCAACCCUGAUCCAGCGAUGCCGCGUGUGUGAAGAAGGCCUGAGGGUUGUAAAGCACUUUAGUUGGGGAAGAGAUUACAGAGUUUAAGAGAUACUGUAUGAGACAUGAACCAAAGAAUAAGCACCGGCUAACUCCGUGCCAGCCGCCGCCGUAAAAC
rnacentral:rRNA from 1 species